rnacentral:rRNA from 1 species
UAAUACGGGGGAUGCAAGCGUUAUCCGGAAUCAUUGGGCGUAAAGCGCCUGUAGGUUGUUUAAUAAGUCUGUUGUUAAAGACUAGGGCUUAACCCUAGAAAAGCAAUGGAAACUAUUAGACUAGAGUAUGGCAGGGGUAGAGGGAAUUUCUAGUGUAGCGGUGAAAUGCGUAGAUAUUAGAAAGAACACCGGCGGCGAAAGCGCUCUACUGGACCAUUACUGACACUCAGAGGCGAAAGCUAGGGUAGCAAAAGGGAUUAGAUACCCCUGUAGUCCUAGCCGUAAACGAUGGAUACUAGAUGUUGUGCUUUAUGUACAGUAUCGUAGCUAACGCGUUAAGUAUCCCGCCUGGGGAGUACGCUCGCAAGGGUG